rnacentral:RNase_MRP_RNA from 1 species
ACGUCACUGGACGAAGUGAUUGGGCAUUGGACUUGUCAAAGUUCAGACUCAGGAAAGUCCCCGGGUCACUUUUCCGUAGAGAUGCGGAACCUCGGCAACGAGAGAAUCUUUACGUCGGAGAGACAUAUAAUCGGCUGAGACACGUGUGUGGAGCCUUCUCUCCAACGAAUGAAAGUAUGGCCGUUCGUUACAAACAGUUAUUCACUUGGGUCGUCCUUUGGACCAAACUGAACGGGGCUUAUGUUCCAGUGACA